rnacentral:rRNA from 1 species
GACGAACGCUGGCGGCGUGCUUAACACAUGCCAGUCGAACGCUGAAGCUUGGUGCUUGCACUGGGUGGAUGAGUGGCGAACGGGUGAGUAAUACGUGAGUAACCUGCCCUUGACUCUGGGAUAAGCCUGGGAAACUGGGUCUAAUACUGGAUACGACAUGCCACUGCAUGGUGGUGUGUGGAAAGGGUUUUACUGGUUUUGGAUGGGCUCGCGGCCUAUCAGCUUGUUGGUGGGGUAAUGGCCUACCAAGGCGACGACGGGUAGCCGGCCUGAGAGGGUGACCGGCCACACUGGGACUGAGACACGGCCCAGACUCCUACGGGAGGCAGCAGUGGGGAAUAUUGCACAAUGGGCGGAAGCCUGAUGCAGCGACGCCGCGUGAGGGAUGACGGCCUUCGGGUUGUAAACCCCUUUCAGCACGGAAGAAGCGAGAGUGACGGUACGUGCAGAAGAAGCGCCGGCUAACUACGUG